AGCGGGCUGUCCCUUACGGACCGAUAUGGACUCUCCUUCUGGAGAACCUUCUCUGAGGGACAGGCACGUACUAUAAAGGAAGUGGGAUGCAUUCAAGAACCACGCUGUCUUUGAGGAACACACCGCAUGUACCAGUGAGACCGAGACAUUCAGAGCACAAAAGCUGAAAAUGUGCCUCACGUUUUUAUGUUGGGUUCGGUGACAUCCAGUUAUUCCCAGCAUAGCUUCAUCCAGCUUCAGCUUUACUCGAAGGCUAAUUACGGAGAGAAGUGCAAACACCUUUGAAGGCCCUUUCCACUGCCCAUAUCAGAGGUGCCACCAUCCAGUGUGACUUGAUGCACCAGGACAGGCUGGGACCCCUCAGCAGGCCCACAGUGGACAGCUGUGAUUACUGCUGACAAUAAUUUAUGGUCCCUUCUGAUUGAAAACAUGAGAGCUGGAGAUAGAAGGGCUGGAGUCAAGGCACCACCUUAAGAUAUAAAACUGAGGCCGCAGCUGCUGUCAGAAGCAGGACUCCUGCCAAGCUCUGCAGGCCUUCUGCCCAUCCAGACACACACAAGCUCUCAUUUUGCUUUCUUUUUCCUUCUUUUAUAUUUUCCUUCCUCCUUGUCUUUGCCUGGAUGUAGUCCUCCUCUACAUUGUGUCUCUCAUCAAUUCUGUUUGUGCAUUUUACUCAUACAUUUUGCUCUCCAAUUUUAACUUAAUGCAACAUGAUACUGAAUGUUCGUCUCAGAGAAAUCAAAUUAAAUUUAACUUAAUCAUGCAAAAGAGGUUGUUCAUUUGAUUAGAAUUGCAAAGAACACACAGAAGUGGUACUGAACUACAUAAAGUAAAACCAAAAAGACACUCCAUGAAAGGAACAACACAAAAAUAUGGUCUUGAGGAAUUCUUGAUUCGCAAUAAUUGCGCAAAAUGAAAGAGGAAAAAAUACUUAUCCGCCCUGGCUGAUCAGGUGUCUCUACAGUGAGCUUUUCCAGCCCUGAGAUUACCAUGCUAAUCCUAACAAUAGCACUGUGCAGCUGGUUUGAACAACUAUCUGCACCAUUGUUUAUGUUGUCAUCCCUGCUGGAUCGUACUCAUUAGGAGUAACCAUUUUAGUGGAUUUGCAUUUACUAUUUCAAUGCCACAUCGAGGGAUAAAGAUCCCUUCCUCUAAAAUGAUGUAUGUUCUGGGUAUUAUGUUCUAUUUCUAAAAGAGACCUUGAACCAAAGAGAAGAUGCAGCAAAGCUCUUGUGUAUAUAAAAACUGAAAUUAAACAAUCCCUAGAUUGAACUGAAAAAGAUUUAAAUGGAAUCUGAUGGAAUGAAAUUGCAAAUACACUUGAGUAAAAAGAUUUGCUUUUAAAACCGGUUAUCUCAGAUUCUUCCUCUGAUUUCCUCUGUGGUUCUUGGUCAUGCCAAAUAGAAAACUGAAUGUUUAAUCACGUUUAUGUGUAUCAACUUAUAAAUAGAAUUAAUGAAAGUAUAUACUGUACUUAUACAAUGUUUUUUUCAUGAGGUUUGAAUUCUAGUUGUGUAAUAAUUGCUACAAUAUCAGAUAUUUCUUCUAUGAAUUGCCAAAACAUAUUCAAUACUGUGGACUUACAACAUCAUGCAAA